AACGAACGCUGGCGGCAUGCUUAACACAUGCAAGUCGAACGGAUAGCUUGCUAUCAGUGGCGCACGGGUGAGUAACACGUGGGAACCUACCUUUAGUUUGGGAUAACUUUGGGAAACUAAGGCUAAUACCGGAUACGCUUUGCAGCUUGGCGCUGUAAAGGAAAGAUUUAUCGCUAAAAGAUGGGCCCGCGGUGGAUUAGCUUGUUGGUGGGGUAAAGGCUUACCAAGGCAACGAUCCAUAGCUGGUCUGAGAGGAUGAUCAGCCACACUGGGACUGAGAUACGGCCCAGACUCCUACGGGAGGCAGCAGUGGGGAAUAUUGGACAAUGGGCGAAAGCCUGAUCCAGCAAUGCCGCGUGAGUGAAGAAGGUCUUCGGAUUGUAAAGCUCUUUCACGGGUGAAGAUAAUGACGGUAACCCGAGAAGAAGCCCCGGCUAACUUCGUG
rnacentral:rRNA from 1 species